rnacentral:rRNA from 1 species
UACGGAGGGUGCGAGCGUGUCCGGAAUCAUUGGGCGUAAAGGGUGCGUAGGUGGCUGAUUAAGUCAGUGGUGAAAUACAGCCGCUCAACGGUUGAGGUGCCAUUGAUACUGAUCAGCUUGAAAGAAUUGGAGGCUGCCGGAAUGGAUGGUGUAGCGGUGAAAUGCAUAGAUAUCAUCCAGAACACCGAUUGCGAAGGCAGGUGGCUACGGAAUUUAUUUGACACU